rnacentral:rRNA from 1 species
UACGUAGGGUGCAAGCGUUAAUCGGAAUUACUGGGCGUAAAGCGUGCGCAGGCGGUUUUGUAAGUCUGUCGUGAAAUCCCCCGGGCUCAACCUGGGAAUUGCGAUGGAGACUGCAAGGCUAGAAUCUGGCAGAGGGGGGGUAGAAUUCCACGUGUAGCAGCGAAAUGCGUAGAGAUGUGGAGGAACACCGAUGGCGAAGGCAGCCCCCUGGGUCAAGAUUGACGCUCAUGCACGAAAGCGUGGGGAGCAAACAGG